UUUUGGCAAUGAUGCGAGAGGUUGCAGAUACACCCGGCUCCUUUGCCAAGGCGGGCUAUCUGGAAAUUUUCGUGGAGCAAGUCUAUUUUUGAAAAAUGGACGA
rfam:Sporolactobacillus laevolacticus DSM 442 Contig020, whole genome shotgun sequence.